GGGAGGUGACCCCACCAACCACCGGCCUGCGAGCUGCAGUUUGGCCAGUACAGGGGUCAGACAUUCCAGUGGCUACUCGGCAACGACGUGGGAUACGCUGUGACCAUCAUUGUAUCCCACAAGGGAGAGGGAGAAGCAGGGGACAAACCUGAAAAAGUAUGUGCUGACCAGGGAUGUGGAGAAGGCAGCACAACCGCCCCUGGGCACUGUCGGUCCACCUGUUGACUAGGGUCCAUCGGAUGCCACUCUUCUCGCUGCCGCCAUGGAGGUCGACUCGUGCAGGCAUGCCCCACCAGCCGUGACCCCCUUCUCCCUCUCCCAACCACCAGAACGUCCCCUUCUGGACACACCAGCCUCUGGCGCUCAGAUUUUUUUUUUCUAGCAAGACCACCCUUGUCAGCCACUCCGCAUUACUCCCGGCAGAGACAGGUGUCUUGUCCUACUUACACCCCACCCGUGGCCUGCACCUUGACGUGGUUGACAGGCCUCAAUGAACAGUGGACAGUGAGACAGUGCUAGACAGUGGUCUACCUUUGGACUUGCACCAACGAGACAUGGACACUGAAACUUGAUUUCUCUUAAUGAAUAU